rnacentral:rRNA from 1 species
GCUUACGGCCAUACCAGCCUGAAUGCGCCCGAUCUCGUCUGAUCUCGGAAGCUAGGCCGGGUCGGGCCUGGUUAGUACUUGGAUGGGAGACCGCCUGGGAAUACCAGGUGCUGUAAUCU